rnacentral:miRNA from 1 species
AUCACAUUGCCAGAGACUACUG